GCGCCCGUAGCUCAGCUUGGAUAGAGCGUCGGACUUCUAAUCCGGAUGUCGCAGGUUCGAGUCCUGCCGGGCGCG
rnacentral:tRNA from 1 species